CAUUGGCAGGCUGCAGUUCUGUUUGGUGGUUCCUGGUUUUGGAAGUGGAAUUCAAACAUUGCAGUAGAGAACAGGGCACAAGGUUGCCUCGAGACAAGGACAUCUUGCAGAGGAUAUAUCUUCAAGGAGCAUGAACAGGAGGAGACAUUUCUCAGAGGAAUACAUUCUGAUGCAGGCUUCCCAAGCAUUCACUCACCUGACAGUGAUGUCACAUGUCUUCUUUGUCUGUGUCUUGUUCUCAAAAACUAUGCAAAUGAUUCUCUGCCUAUUGUGACAUUAUUAUAAUGCUGGGCAAAUAAAGGACUAAUGAAGUAAA